rnacentral:lncRNA from 1 species
UAUCCCUCGGCUUGCAGCUGCAUCUGCUCCAGUGCCUGCUUUGGUUGUCAUGUGACUUUCUCCCUGUGGCUCUCUGUCCUCAUGUGGCCAUCUUCUUACAAGGACCCUAGUUGUAUUGAAGAAGGGGUUCACCCUCCACUGAUACAAACUCACAAAAUGAGAGUAGAUGAAGUGGGAGGAAGACUGAGAAAUCGGAUGGGGCUUUAA